UGAAAAUAAAUACUUACAUAUUUUUUAAGGAAAUGACUUAUAAAAGACAGUAUGGUAAGGAUGGUCUAUUUUAAAAGUCUGAGUUUACUGUGUGUUUUCUCUCCUUUUAUAAGCAGAAUCAGAGAGCUGGGACCAUUUCAGUAGGUCCUUGGGCUGCCUGAAAACUAUGACCCUGGAGCAUCAUUUACUCAAAAUGCUCAUCCAAAAUCAGGACAUCAAAACUAGUUACUCUUCACCUUAUGGAAACGAAUACCCUAAGGAUGACAAGCAUCUGUCCUGGACCCAGCUCUGAGGUGGGCAAAGAGACCUUAGAAACAUAAACAGCAAGGUUUGAAUUCCAGCUGCAUCUCUUAUCAAAUGGUAAGCAUGGGAAAAAUUACUUAUCUAUCCAAAUCUCAAUGUCCUUAUCCAUAAAAUGGGUAUAAUAACAUACAU
rnacentral:lncRNA from 1 species